UGGGGAAUUUUGGACAAUGGGCGAAAGCCUGAUCCAGCAAUGCCGCGUGUGUGAAGAAGGCCUUCGGGUUGUAAAGCACUUUUGUCCGGAAAGAAAUCCUUGGCUCUAAUACAGUCGGGGGAUGACGGUACCGGAAGAAUAAGCACCGGCUAACUACGUGCCAGCAGCCGCGGUAAUACGUAGGGUGCAAGCGUUAAUCGGAAUUACUGGGCGUAAAGCGUGCGCAGGCGGUUUGCUAAGACCGAUGUGAAAUCCCCGGGCUCAACCUGGGAACUGCAUUGGUGACUGGCAGGCUAGAGUAUGGCAGAGGGGGGUAGAAUUCCACGUGUAGCAGUGAAAUGCGUAGAGAUGUGGAGGAAUACCGAUGGCGAAGGCAGCCCCCUGGGCCAAUACUGACGCUCAUGCACGAAAGCGUGGGGAGCAAACAGGAUUAGAUACCCUGGUAGUCCACGCCCUAAACGAUGUCAACUAGUUGUUGGGGAUUCAUUU
rnacentral:rRNA from 1 species